AUUGAACGCUGGCGGCAGGCCUAACACAUGCAAGUCGAGCGGAUGACGGGAGCUUGCUCCUUGAUUCAGCGGCGGACGGGUGAGUAAUGCCUAGGAAUCUGCCUGGUAGUGGGGGACAACGUUUCGAAAGGAACGCUAAUACCGCAUACGUCCUACGGGAGAAAGCAGGGGACCUUCGGGCCUUGCGCUAUCAGAUGAGCCUAGGGCGGAUUAGCUAGUUGGUGGGGUAAUGGCUCACCAAGGCGACGAUCCGUAACUGGUCUGAGAGGAUGAUCAGUCACACUGGAACUGAGAAACGGUCCAGACUCCUGCGGGCGGCAGCAGUGGGGAAUAUUGGACUAUGGGCGAAAGCCUGAUCCAGCCAUGCCGCGUGUGUGAAGAAGGUCUUCGGAUUGUAAAGCACUUUAAGUUGGGAGGAAGGGCAGUAAGUCAAUACCUUGCUGUUUUGACGUUACCGACAGAAUAAGCACCGGCUAACUCUGUGCCAGCCGCCGCCGUAA
rnacentral:rRNA from 1 species